rnacentral:tRNA from 1 species
GGUUAUCGCCAAAUGGUAAGGCACAGGAUUUUGACUCCUGCACUGUUGGUUCGAUUCUUGUCUUGACAGCCA